rnacentral:snoRNA from 1 species
CUUGCUCCUGGAAGGUUUGCAGGUGUGACUGUGUGUCAUACCUGCAUCAGUAGCUUGUAGAGAGGAGAGAUGCAAAAGCUACCUUCAGUAUUCUGACCUAUGAUUAGUAGCCUAAA